AACAUGGAGAGUUUGAUCCUGGCUCAGGAUGAACGCUGGCGGCGUGCUUAACACAUGCAAGUCGAACGAAGUCUUCGGACUUAGUGGCGGACGGGUGAGUAACGCGUGAGGAUCUGCCUUCAGGUUGGGGACAACCACUGGAAACGGUGGCUAAUACCCAAUGUGCCGAGAGGUGAAAGGUUAACUGCCUGGAGAUGAACUCGCGUCUGAUUAGCUAGUUGGUAGUGUAAGGGACUACCAAGGCGACGAUCAGUAGCUGGUCUAAGAGGAUGAUCAGCCACACUGGGACUGAGACACGGCCCAGACUCCUACGGGAGGCAGCAGUGGGG
rnacentral:rRNA from 1 species